UACGGAGGGUGCAAACGUUGCUCGGAAUCAUUGGGCGUAAAGCGCGUGUAGGCGGCUGGCUAAGUCGAGUGUGAAAGCCCUAGGCUCAACCUAGGAAGUGCGCUCGAAACUGGCCAGCUAGAGUACGGGAGAGGGUAGCGGAAUUCCCGGUGUAGAGGUGAAAUUCGUAGAUAUCGGGAGGAACACCAGUGGCGAAGGCGGCUACCUGGACCGAUACUGACGCUGAGACGCGAAAGCGUGGGUAGCAAACAGG
rnacentral:misc_RNA from 1 species